rnacentral:rRNA from 1 species
UGGGGAAUAUUGCGCAAUGGGCGAAAGCCUGACGCAGCAACGCCGCGUGAGUGAUGAAAUCCUUCGGGAUGUAAACUUCGCAAAACUGGGAAGAACAAAAUGACGGUACCAGUUGUAAGCCACGGCUAACUCUGUGCCAGCAGCCGCGGUAAUACAGAGGUGGCAAGCGUUGUUCGGAAUUACUGGGCGUAAAGCGCGUGUAGGCGGCUCUUCAAGUCAGGCGUGAAAGCCCCAGGCUCAACCUGGGAAAUGCGUUUGAUACUGUCGAGCUAGAGUGUGGAAGGGCGAUUGGAAUUCCGUGUGUAGCGGUGAAAUGCGUAGAUAUACGGAGGAACACCAGAGGCGAAGGCGGAUCGCUGGGCCAACACUGACGCUGAGACGCGAAAGCUAGGGUAGCAAACGGGAUUAGAUACCCCCGUAGUCCCUGAGCGGGCUGGCAAGGCGCAU